AGUGAACGCUGGCGGUAGGCCUAACACAUGCAAGUCGAACGGCAGCACAGUAAGAGCUUGCUCUUACGGGUGGCGAGUGGCGGACGGGUGAGGAAUACAUCGGAAUCUACUUUUUCGUGGGGGAUAACGUAGGGAAACUUACGCUAAUACCGCAUACGACCUACGGGUGAAAGCAGGGGAUCUUCGGACCUUGCGCGACUGAAUGAGCCGAUGUCGGAUUAGCUAGUUGGCGGGGUAAAGGCCCACCAAGGCGACGAUCCGUAGCUGGUCUGAGAGGAUGAUCAGCCACACUGGAACUGAGACACGGUCCAGACUCCUAAGGGAGGCAGCAGUGGGGAAUAUUGGACGAUGGGCGCAAGCCUGAUCCAGCCAUACCGCGUGGGUGAAGAAGGCCUUCGGGUUGUAAAGCCCUUUUGUUGGGAAAGAAAAGCAGCAGGUUAAUACCCCGCUGUUCUGACGGUACCCAAAGAAUAAGCACCGGCUAACUACGUG
rnacentral:rRNA from 1 species